GUGGAUGUGGUGUGUGGUGCACAGUUGCUCUCAAUACCGGAUAAUCCACCCAGAGAUAUUGAAGCAGUUGAACGGGGUUCGAUUCCCCGCAUCCGCC